AUAGCUAAAUAAGGAAAGCAUUUCACUUACACCGAAAAGUUAUCCGCGCAAAUCGGAUUAUUCUGACACCUAAAAGCUAGCUAUACUCUUCACCCAACAAAUGAUUAUCAAUAAGUAUUAAUAUGCUAAAAAUAUAAUUAAACCAUUACCCCUGUCUUAGUAGAGGCGAUAGAAAAGGAAAAUUAAGCUAUAGAUUAAGUACCGCAAGGGAAUGCUGAAAAAGAAGUGAAAUAACACAGUAAAGUAUUAUAAAGCAGAGAUGAAAACUCGUACCUUUUGCAUCAUGAUUUAGUAAGAACUAAUUAAGCAAGAUGUUUUCUAGUUUAACACCCCGAAACUAGGUGAGCUACUCCAAGACAGCCUAAUAUAGGGCAAACACGUCUCUGUGGCAAAAGAGUGUGGAGAUCUUUGAGUAGAGGUGACAAACCUACCGAACCUGGUUAUAGCUGGUUGUCUGAGAAUUAAAUAUAAGUUUAGCCUAUUAUUUUCUUAAUUUACCAAAACUUGAUCAUUACACAACAAGAGAAUAUAAUAGAGUUAUUCAUAAGAGGUCCAGCCCUUAUGAAAAAGGAUACAACCUUACUAGGCGGUUAAUGAGCACAAAAUACAAAGUUAAUGUUUUAGUGGGCUUAAAAGCAGCCAUCUAAGAAAAAAGCGUCAAAGC
rnacentral:rRNA from 1 species